rnacentral:rRNA from 1 species
ACGCACGCUGGCGGCGUGCCUAAUACCUGCCAGUCGAACGCUUCUUUCCUCCCGAGUGCUUGCACUCAAUUGGAAAGAGGAGUGGCGGACGGGUGAGUAACACGUGGGUAACCUACCCAUCAGAGGGGGAUAACACUUGGAAACAGGUGCUAAUACCGCAUAACAGUUUAUGCCGCAUGGCAUAAGAGUGAAAGGCGCUUUCGGGUGUCGCUGAUGGAUGGACCCGCGGUGCAUUAGCUAGUUGGUGAGGUAACGGCUCACCAAGGCCACGAUGCAUAGCCGACCUGAGAGGGUGAUCGGCCACACUGGGACUGAGACACGGCCCAGACUCCUACGGGAGGCAGCAGUAGGGAAUCUUCGGCAAUGGACGAAAGUCUGACCGAGCAACGCCGCGUGAGUGAAGAAGGUUUUCGGAUCGUAAAACUCUGUUGUUAGAGAAGAACAAGGACGUUAGUAACUGAACGUCCCCUGACGGUAUCUAACCAGAAAGCCACGGCUAACUACGUG